GAUGAACGCUGGCGGCGUGCCUAAUACAUGCAAGUCGAGCGAACGGACGAGAAGCUUGCUUCUCUGAUGUUAGCGGCGGACGGGUGAGUAACACGUGGAUAACCUACCUAUAAGACUGGGAUAACUUCGGGAAACCGGAGCUAAUACCGGAUAAUAUUUUGAACCGCAUGGUUCAAAAGUGAAAGACGGUCUUGCUGUCACUUAUAGAUGGAUCCGCGCUGCAUUAGCUAGUUGGUAAGGUAACGGCUUACCAAGGCAACGAUGCAUAGCCGACCUAAGAGGGUGGUCGGCCACACUGGAACUGAGACACGGUCCAGACUCCUACGGGAGGCAGCAGUAGGGAAUCUUCCGCAAUGGGCGAAAGCCUGACGGAGCAACGCCGCGUGAGUGAUGAAGGUCUUCGGAUCGUAAAACUCUGUUAUUAGGGAAGAACAUAUGUGUAAGUAACUGUGCACAUCUUGACGGUACCUAAUCAGAAAGCCACGGCUAACUACGUG
rnacentral:rRNA from 1 species